rnacentral:rRNA from 1 species
CGGAGGAUCCAAGCGUUAUCCGGAAUCAUUGGGUUUAAAGGGUCCGUAGGCGGUUUAGUAAGUCAGUGGUGAAAGCCCAUCGCUCAACGGUGGAACGGCCAUUGAUACUGCUAGACUUGAAUUAUUAGGAAGUAACUAGAAUAUGUAGUGUAGCGGUGAAAUGCUUAGAGAUUACAUGGAAUACCAAUUACGAAGGCAGGUUACUACUAAUGGAUUGACGCUGAUGGACGAAAGCGUGGGUAGCGAACAGGAUUAGAUACCCUGGUAGUCCACGCCGUAAACGAUGGAUACUAGCUGUUGGGAGCAAUCUCAGUGGCUAAGCGAAAGUGAUAAGUAUCCCACCUGGGGAGUACGGGCGCAAGCCUG